CGAGUGGCGAUGCCUUUCGUAAAUAUCCGAAUCGUUAGCAUAGUCAAGAGACACAUCAGCCUACCCCUCUAACUAAGUGGUGUUGAGUUUUGUAUGUUCAUCCCAUAAGGAAGGUGCUCUAGGUUAGAUCUCUUGUUGAAGCUCUGGCUUCAAGAGGUGUCUUUUGACUUGAUAAUACAACUGUAGAGGAGUUCAUCUAAAUAUACCGGCAGCAAAAUCCAACCUAUAAAAUACUUUGAAUUGUGUAGGAUAGUAGUCAUUGGAAGACAAUACUUCAAACAUACGAAUCUAUAUCUGUAUUCCUAUAAGUCAUAGGCUGCCUGUGGCUGCGGAUGAUAGAAUCUAGUAUACGACUCAGAACCUAAUACGUCUAGAGAUUCUAUUCCAUAUGUGAGGUCAUUUGUAGCUGCAUCAUGUCCUCUUGAAUGACUUUGAAGAGCAUGUCUCUUGUAUACAAUCGUAUUCUCAUGGGCUCUAUCAGAUCGUAUCUCAGAAACGGUGGUCUUAUAUUUUUCAUUCUUUCUGGACAGCAGAUCUAUGACCACUAGAACUAUCAUCGUUGCUGCUUUUGAUCUCUGAAUCUGAAUAAAUUGGCUCAUCCACACUCUUCAUGGGG
rnacentral:lncRNA from 1 species